rnacentral:rRNA from 1 species
AGUAGCGAAGUUCCUGAUGUCACACUGCCAAGAAAAGCUUCUAGUGAGAAAGUAACUGCCCGUACCGCAAACCGACACAGGUAGUUGAGGAGAGAAUCCUAAGGUGUGCGAGAGAACUCUCGUUAAGGAACUCGGCAAAAUGACCCCGUAACUUCGGGAGAAGGGGUGCUGACCGCAAGGUCAGCCGCAGUGAAUAGGCCCAAGCGACUGUUUAUCAAAAACACAGGUCUCUGCAAAAUCGAAAGAUGACGUAUAGGGGCUGACGCCUGCCCGGUGCUGGAAGGUUAAGAGGAGAGGUUAGCGCAAGCGAAGCUUUGAAUUGAAGCCCCAGUAAACGGCGGCCGUAACUAUAACGGUCCUAAGGUAGCGAAAUUCCUUGUCGGGUAAGUUCCGACCCGCACGAAAGGCGUAACGAUUUGGGCACUGUCUCAACGAGAGACUCGGUGAAAUUAUAGUACCAGUGAAGAUGCUGGUUACCCGCGACAGGACGGAAAGACCCCAUGGAGCUUUACUGCAGUUUGAUAUUGCGUGUUUGUAUCACAUGUACAGGAUAGGUAGGAGCCAAUGAUACCGGGACGCCAGUCUGGGAGGAGGCAACGGUGGGAUACUACCCUUGUGAUAUGACCACUCUAACCCGCUGCUCUUAGCGAGCAGGGAGACAGUGUCAGACGGGCAGUUUGACUGGGGCGGUCGCCUCCAAAAAUGUAACGGAGGCGCCCAAAGGUUCCCUCAGAAUGGUUGGAAAUCAUUCGUAGAGUGUAAAGGCAGAAGGGAGCUUGACUGCGAGACCUACAAGUCGAGCAGGGACGAAAGUCGGGCUUAGUGAUCCGGUGGUUCCGCAUGGAAGGGCCAUCGCUCAACGGAUAAAAGCUACCCUGGGGAUAACAGGCUUAUCUCCCCCAAGAGUUCACAUCGACGGGGAGGUUUGGCACCUCGAUGUCGGCUCAUCGCAUCCUGGGGCUGUAGUCGGUCCCAAGGGUUGGGCUGUUCGCCCAUUAAAGCGGUACGCGAGCUGGGUUCAGAACGUCGUGAGACAGUUCGGUCCCUAUCCGUCGCGGGCGUUGGAAAUUUGAGAGGAGCUGUCCUUAGUACGAGAGGACCGGGAUGGACACACCGCUGGUGUACCAGUUGUUCUGCCAAGAGCAUCGCUGGGUAGCUAUGUGUGGACGGGAUAAACGCUGAAAGCAUCUAAGCGUGAAGCCCCCCUCAAGAUGAGAUUUCCCAUCACUUUAAGUGAGUAAGACCCCUGAGAGAUGAUCAGGUAGAUAGGUUGGGAGUGGAAGUACAGCGAUGUAUGGAGCGGACCAAUACUAAUCGGUCGAGGACUUAACCG